GGUUGACCUCGGAUCAGGUAGGGAUACCCGCUGAACUUAAGCAUAUCAAUAAGGCGGAGGAAA
rnacentral:rRNA from 1 species